AACGAACGCUGGCGGCGCGCCUAAUACAUGCAAGUCGAGCGAGAAGGUGUAGCAAUACACUUGUAAAGCGGCGAACGGGUGAGGAAUACAUGGGUAAUCUACCAUCGAGUGGGGAAUAACCAACCGAAAGGUUGGCUAAUACCGCGUACGCCUCCGAGUCUUCGGGUUCGGAGGGAAAGCUGCACUGUGAGUGUAGCGCUCUUUGAUGAGCUCAUGUCCUAUCAGCUUGUUGGUAGGGUAACGGCCUACCAAGGCUUUGACGGGUAGCUGGUCUGAGAGGACGAUCAGCCACACUGGCACUGCGACACGGGCCAGACUCCUACGGGAGGCAGCAGUAAGGAAUAUUGCGCAAUGGGCGAAAGCCUGACGCAGCGACGCCGCGUGGGGGAUGAAGGUCUUCGGAUUGUAAACCUCUUUCAGCAGGGACGAAGCGAAAGUGACUGUACCUGCAUAAGAAGCACCGGCUAACUACGUGCCAGCAGCCGC
rnacentral:rRNA from 1 species